rnacentral:rRNA from 1 species
GAUGAACGCUGGCGGCGUGCCUAAUACAUGCAAGUCGAGCGAACAGACGAGGAGCUUGCUCCUCUGACGUUAGCGGCGGACGGGUGAGUAACACGUGGAUAACCCACCUAUAAGACUGGGAUAACCUCGGGAAACCGGAGCUAAUACCGGAUAAUAUAUUUAACCGCAUGGUUCAAUAGUGAAAGACGGUUUUCCUGUCACUUAUAGAUGGAUCUGCGCCGCAUUAGCUAGUUGGUAAGGUAACGGCUUACCAAGGCAACGAUGCGUAGCCGACCUGACAGGGUGAUCGGCCACACUGGAACUGAGACACGGUCCAGACUCCUACGGGAGGCAGCAGUAGGGAAUCUUCCGCAAUGGGCGAAAGCUUGACGGAGCAACGCCGCGUGAGUGAUGAAGGUCUUCGGAUCGUAAAACUAUGUUAUUAGGGAAGAACAAAUGUGUAAGUAACUAUGCACGUCUUGACGGUACCUAAUCAGAAAGCCACGGCUAACUACGUG